rnacentral:rRNA from 1 species
GACGUAGGUGGCGAGCGUUGUUCGGAAUCACUGGGCAUAAAGCGCACGUAGGCGGCCAUAUAAGUCGGGUGUGAAAGCCCCGGGCUCAACCUGGGAAUUGCAUUUGAGACUGUGUAGCUAGGGUGCGGAAGAGGGAAGCGGAAUUUCCGGUGUAGCGGUGAAAUGCGUAGAUAUCGGAAGGAACACCAGUGGCGAAAGCGGCUUCCUGGUCCAGCACCGACGUUCAGGCACGAAAGCGUGGGGAGCAAACAGG